rnacentral:rRNA from 1 species
GAUGAACGCUGGCGGCGUGCCUAAUACAUGCAAGUCGAGCGAACGGACGAGAAGCUUGCUUCUCUGAUGUUAGCGGCGGACGGGUGAGUAACACGUGGAUAACCUACCUAUAAGACUGGGAUAACUUCGGGAAACCGGAGCUAAUACCGGAUGAUAUUUUGAACCGCAUGGUUCAAAAGUGAAAGACGGUCUUGCUGUCACUUAUAGAUGGAUCCGCGCUGCAUUAGCUAGUUGGUAAGGUAACGGCUUACCAAGGCAACGAUGCAUAGCCGACCUGAGAGGGUGAUUGGCCACACUGGAACUGAGACACGGUCCAGACUGCUACGGGAGGCAGCAGUAGGGAAUCGUCCGCAAUGGGCGAAAGCCUGACGGAGCAACGCCGCGUGAGUGAUGAAGGUCUUCGGAUCGUAAAACUCUGUUAUUAGGGAAGAACAUAUGUGUAAGUAACUGUGCACAUCUUGACGGUACCUAAUCAGAAAGCCACGGCUAACUACGUG